GGAAAGAGGGCUGAGUGCGGCUGAGGUUUUCUGAGAGCCUGUGCUUUACCUGGACAACACACUGCAAAGAGCUGCCUGGAGGGGUGGCUGGGUUCCAUCUCAAGGAGGGGAAGCUGAGGCAAACUGCAGCCUGGCUGUAGUUACUGUGGGCAGGCUCAUCCUGCUAGACCCUGUCUGCAUGUUGCUGUGAGCUGUGGGUACCUGCAGGAGGAAGGAAAACCACUGACCACCUCCAUGCCCCCCUGUUGCUCGCAUAUAACUGAUUUCCACUUUCUCACUACAGGAGCAGCUCCAAUCUCCUCUCUCUGUGCCAAGCACGCUCCCUAGGAGGACAAGUCGAUGCCAGCUGCAUGUCUAAGCCAUAGCCAUCGUUCUAUUGCAUUUCCAACAGAGGAGCAAACACAUGGAGAGAUGGAAAUGGGUUCUUUCUCUAGGAAACAAAAACAAUGAAGUUUCAGCCUGGCCUGACUAGCAAGUAAUGAGUGCUGCCAUCCUAUCAACACAAGUUUGCCUUUUCCAGUGAAGCUCUUAAAUCACACAAAAACACCUUCAGAAGCAUCAAGGAGCUGAGUUGCUCCAUUAGCAUCCAGGGAGUGUUACCUAUGGGCUGAAAAUCCCUGUGGAGGAUGAGGAGCUCCUUUGGAAGAUCAGAAGCUGCUGGGAAAGAGAUGCUCAGUUUGAAAAAGUAAUCCUCCUAAUCCUUUGGAAAGCAACAGUGUCUUAGUUUUCGCCCCUGACUCUGUGCUCUGGCUCAUGACCGACCUGGGAGCUGGUGAGCGCUGCCUCUCAGAUCCUCAG